GUUAUCUGAGGUGGUAAAUUUCGUUGCAACCACGCGCCCACUGGGCUAAAAGAGAUGCAGGAGCGGCGACGCCUGCCGGAUAGC
rnacentral:ncRNA from 23 species